rnacentral:lncRNA from 1 species
CAGGGCUGUAAUAACCUGGUAAGUCUAGCUUCCUGUCCUGUCAGCAAAACGCAUGUCUGCUUGCACGACUCUGCUCAAGAGGUCAUUGUUUGUGCUCAGAAGGGAAUUCCAGAAUCUCAUAACACACCUGAACCAGUCAAAGUAAAGAGGCAUCUGUCCAGUCUCUCAAAGUAAACAGCGUGUUUCUGUUGCCCUCUUAACACCCAAAAGAGACUUGAGGAAGCCUGCAUGGUAGACAUGAGGUUUGGUCU